AGCGUGCUCCGGGCGUCGG
rnacentral:snRNA from 1 species